GACGAACGCUGGCGGCGUGCCUAACACAUGCAAGUCGAGCGAGUUGAUUCUCUUCGGAGAUGAAGCUAGCGGCGGACGGGUGAGUAACACGUGGGCAACCUGCCUCAUAGAGGGGAAUAGCCUCCCGAAAGGGAGAUUAAUACCGCAUAACAUUGUAGCUUCGCAUGAAGUAGCAAUUAAAGGAGCAAUCCGCUAUGAGAUGGGCCCGCGGCGCAUUAGCUAGUUGGUGAGGUAACGGCUCACCAAGGCGACGAUGCGUAGCCGACCUGAGAGGGUGGUCGGGCACAUUGGGACUGAGACACGGCCCAGACUCCUACGGGAGGCAGCAGUGGGGAAUAUUGCACAAUGGGGGAAACCCUGAUGCAGCAACGCCGCGUGAGUGAUGACGGCCUUCGGGUUGUAAAGCUCUGUCUUCAGGGACGAUAAUGACGGUACCUGAGGAGGAAGCCACGGCUAACUACGUGCCAGCAGCCGCAGUAAUAC
rnacentral:rRNA from 1 species